UGGGGAAUAUUGGACAAUGGGCGAAAGCCUGAUCCAGCCAUGUCGCGUGUGUGAAGAAGGUCUUCGGAUUGUAAAGCACUUUAAGUUGGGAGGAAGGGCAGUAAGCGAAUACCUUGCUGUUUUGACGUUACCGACAGAAUAAGCACCGGCUAACUCUGUGCCAGCAGCCGCGGUAAUACAGAGGGUGCAAGCGUUAAUCGGAAUUACUGGGCGUAAAGCGCGCGUAGGUGGUUCGUUAAGUUGAAUGUGAAAGCCCCGGGCUCAACCUGGGAACUGCAUCCAAAACUGGCGAGCUAGAGUAGGGCAGAGGGGGGUGGAAUUUCCUGUGUAGCGGUGAAAUGCGUAGAUAUAGGAAGGAACACCAGUGGCGAAGGCGACCACCUGGGCUCAUACUGACACUGAGGUGCGAAAGCGUGGGGAGCAAACAGG
rnacentral:rRNA from 1 species